AUGGCAAUGGGAGGAGGAUCGCAUUUGAACGGACACCGGGCGCCGAGGCUCUUUGGCAGGGAAAGGCCGGUCCAUGCGGCCCUCGGUGGACGCGAAGCGGCGGACAUCAUCCUGUGGAGGAGGCCGAAGGUGUCGGCGUCGAUCCUCGGCGCGGCGACGGCGGCGUGGGCUCUGUUCGAGGUGGCGGAGUACCACUUCCUGACACUGGCGUGCUAUGCCGCCAUGAUCACCAUGCUCAUCUUCUUCAUCUGGACCAACGCCUCCGCUUUCCUGAACCUGCCGGUUCCACGGAUCCCUGAGACGAUCCUGUCGGAGAGGACCGCGAAGCAGGCAACCUGGGCCUGCACAGGAGGCUCACGUGGUUCGUGCACCGGCUGA
rnacentral:rRNA from 1 species